UACGUAGGGGGCUAGCGUUGUCCGGAUUUAUUGGGCGUAAAGAGCGUGUAGGCGGCCAGGUAGGUCUGGUGUGAAAACUCGAGGCUUAACCUCGAGAUGUCAUCGGAAACCAUCUGGCUAGAGUCCGGAAGAGGAGAGUGGAAUUCCUGGUGUAGCGGUGAAAUGCGCAGAUAUCAGGAAGAACACCAAUGGCGAAAGCAGCUCUCUGGGACGGUACUGACACUGAGGCGCGAAAGCGUGGGGAGCGAACAGG
rnacentral:rRNA from 1 species